GAUGAAGAACGCAGCGAAAUGCGAUAAGUAAUGUGAAUUGCAGAAUUCAGUGAAUCAUCGAAUCUUUGAACGCACAUUGCGCCCUUUGGUAUUCCGAAGGGCAUGCCUGUUCGAGCGUCAUUUCACCACUCGAGCCUGGCUUGGUAUUGGGCGCCGCGGUCGAUCCGCGCGCCUCAAAGUCUCCGGCUGAGCUGUCCGUCUCUAAGCGUUGUGAUUUCAUUAAUCGCUUCGGAGUGCGGGCGGCCGCGGCCGUUAAAUCUUUCACAAGGUUGACCUCGGAUCAGGUAGGGAUACCCGCUGAACUUAAGCAUAUCAAUAAGCGGAGGA
rnacentral:misc_RNA from 1 species